rnacentral:lncRNA from 1 species
UUACUAGUGUAUAUGUGUGUAUUAGCCAAGUUUUGAACUUGAAACAAAAUGGUGUUUAGUCAAUACAAGUGACCAUACUUGUAGAAUGUAUUAAGUGUUACAAUCGGCCCCAACAUAGACAUGUAUGUUCGGCCACAUGAAUGAGUACAUAAGUUAUGUGUAUGUUCGGCCAUAGGUAGCCUAUUGAUGGCUUUAGCUUGACUUAGAAAAUUCGGCUAAGGGGAAAUAUUAGCUAGUAUGUUGAAUUCGAUUCGUGAUUUCGUAC